AUUCACUCUCUCCAGGAGAUCAUGGUCUACUUCAAGUGCUGCUGCUCGCAGCCAGAGAUGCUUUAAUCCUGUGAUGGGCUGAAUACAGCAAACCAGUAUCUUACCAGAGAAGUGUUGAUGGAUGAUGACUGUAAUGGAGAGAGUGUCUUCCCGAGGAGUGCUUCUGUGGAGACUGUGAUGUACUGCAUCACAAAAAACAGCCGCUCCACAACAGAGAAUGUGUGAUUCAUGGGUUUUCUGAAGCCAUUCCUCCAACCUCAUGCGUCAUUAAAGGGCGAGAUGGAUAUUGCAUCCAUGAGCAAGGUAUGUUCUCAUGAAAGCCUCAUUUUGCUGUUCAUGUGUCUGCAGCCAGUUACAGAUCAUCUAAAUCAGUGGGUUUCUCUCUUUUUGCCAGCUUACAAUAACUCUACUAGAGCGAUGCGCAAUCAUAUUCAAUACAGGCACCUGUGCGUUAGCUUGGAGGCAGCCAAAGCCAGCAAAUGUCAAUAAUGUCAUACACUACAACCUGCCGCUGGGUCCGCGAUCCCAUCCGCGCCGUCUAUUCCUCUAAGACCCACUUCGGUGAUGGUGCGGGAUUUCCAGGCUCUUUUCGCCUCUAGUCCGUCUUUCGCCAGACCACGUUAACAUGUUAAAUUCACUGAACAAAUGCGCAUGCUCUGACACGGGUAGACAUGCUUACAUUGCAUGUAAUGGGGUGGAACCCCAAAAAAACGUCUCUCUCUACAUCAGUCACUUUCAACAAGAUAUGUGAAGACUUGUCAGAGACUCCAGGAUGAAACGGCAAGGCUAGCUGAACUGAAAACAGAGUUACUUUGCACAGAUGAAGUGGUGGCACAGUGGCUUUCUGAUGUGAAGGAAUGGGCUGCUGGCGAGACACCAAAUACAUCUCAUGGCAGUCAAGGCACCGCACACAGAGGACUUCAGCAGUCGAUCGAGGGCUUUACCUCAGUGUGAGGCAGCGGAAGCAAACCCUUUACAGUCAGAAUGACAGCAGCAAGCUUCGCCACCGCCUUCGAAGGAAGCUGGCAGAAGACAAAAAGCUCCUUCUUCAGGAGACAGAGAAAUACAGUGGUCUUGUACUCGACUCUGCCACUAACACUGAUGUAGCUGUGGUGGAGCGUUCCCUGACUGGAGAGAGCACUGUGUCUCAAAUAUGGCCGUGGGAGGUUCAAGGCAGUGGGACCAAACAUUUCAAUCAAGAAACAACUGCAUGACCAAGUGAUGUUGACAAUGCGACUGCAAGAGGAAAACAGCAUUAUGGUGUUGAGAUGGAUGGCACAACACUGCACAUGGUUGCAGAGCCUGCAGUGGUUCUGAAGAAGAAGAUAGCUGAGGAGGAUGUAGACAAGGGGAAGGAGGGACUUUGCUGUCUCUUAAGAAGACGACUGUCAGAGGUGUCAGAAAGGCUGCAAGUGCUCCUCCAACCGUACAAGACUGCUUUAGGCCCCGAGGCCUCUGCUCUUCUACAUGUUGAAGCAGAAGAUCAAAGUGGCCUCAGUAGUCCAGAUACCAGUGAGGAUGAAGAAGAAAACACAAUUUAGAUUGAUGGCAGUGUCAGCGUCUCGAUCGAUCGUACAUCUGCAGGAACUUUUUCAGUUGAUUUUACAUCUGACGUCAUUGACGUGGCGAUUCUGAAUCAAUUUCGAUACGCUGCUGGAUAAGAGUCCGACGAAAUUAAAUAUUUGCCAAUUCUGUGCAUUUUCUGUUUUUUGGGGGUUUUUUUGUUUACAUUUUGAAAGCUUAACAUGUCCUCUGCAAAUACAAAUUGAGAUC